CACAGUUAAAGAUAGUGAAGGUUCAGACAUGGAAUCCUGGAACAGUCCCACCAUCAGACGCUGCUCAGUUCUCAGGGGUGGAUCUGGACUCUAUGGACCUGGAGCAGCUGAAGAGAGAGAAAAUAAAAAAGAAACUUAAAGUCUUAAUGUUACAAGAGGAAUAUUACACAAUGAAAAUAAACAAACUGAAACAGUGACCUGUUGUCACUGUAGUAAAGUUGACUUUUUGUCAGAUUUUGUACACGACAUACUCAAGAUUGACCUCAUUUCUUACUCUUGUCAACAAUAACUGAAAGUGUCAGGCUUAGUUUCUUUUCAUUAAGCAUUUUGUAAAUAUAGUUUAUUUUGCA